rnacentral:rRNA from 1 species
ACGGAAGGCAGCAGUGGGGAAUAUUGGACAAUGGGGGAAACCCUGAUCCAGCGACGCCGCGUGAGUGAAGAAGUAUUUCGGUAUGUAAAGCUCUAUCAGCAAGGAAGAAAAUGACGGUACUUGACUAAGAAGCUCCGGCUAAAUACGUGCCAGCAGCCGCGGUAAUACGUAUGGAGCAAGCGUUAUCCGGAUUUACUGGGUGUAAAGGGAGCGUAGACGGCAAAGCAAGUCCGAAGUGAAAUCCCGGGGCUCAACCCCGGAACUGCUUUGGAAACUGUUUAGCUAGAGUGCAGGAGAGGUAAGCGGAAUUCCUAGUGUAGCGGUGAAAUGCGUAGAUAUUAGGAGGAACACCAGUGGCGAAGGCGGCUUUCUGGACUGUAACUGACACUGAGGCUCGAAAGCGUGGGGAGCGAACAGGAUUAGAUACCCUGGUA